rnacentral:rRNA from 12 species
ACUGCAUGAAGUUGGAAUCGCUAGUAAUCGCGGAUCAGCAUGUCGCGGUGAAUACGUUCCCGGGUCUUGUACACACCGCCCGUCACACCAUGGGAGCGGGUUUUACCAGAAGUAGGUAGCUUAACCGUAAGGAGGGCGCUUACCACGGUAGGAUUCGUGACUGGGGUGAAGUCGUAACAAGGUAGCCGUAUCGGAAGGUGCGGCUGGAUCACCUCCUUUCUAG